GCAGGUUUUGGGCUUUGUGUGAGCAGAAUUCGCUACUAACCUACCGAAUCAUGUUUUGGAAUGCAUGUUCUUACGUAUGGUACACUGUAUACCUACGUUCCAAAAUAAUGAAUUUAGCGAUCCUAAACAAUCCUACAAUUUUUCCUCUUUGUUUCUUUAUAUUUACUGUAAGAUAGAAGAAUAAAUUAUGAAGAACCAAAACUGGAGUUUUGAUAGGAAAAUAUAAAAGAAGAUUUGUCAAAAAGCUUCUAGAGAUGUAUUUUACAUCAGUAUUUAGCAAAGUAGGACUCGAUUUGUCCAAUGUUGCUCGCUUUAAAUAAGUAUAGUUUCGCUUUAAACAAGUAUAGUUCUGAAUCGUAAUCUAUAGAAGUCUACUCCCAUUUAUUGCAAUUAUGUGCAUGUGGUAUAUCGCCUCCCCAUUCCCAUUCCUCGUAUUGGAUGGAUCCUCGUUCCAGGUGUCAUAACUUGGACGGGACCUUUGCUUUGGGGGGAAAUGGGUGGUUGGAAUAAGAACCCAUUUUUUGCACUCCCGUCUUGCCUUGGCUUUAUGUGGGUGGUGCUUUAGAGGAGCCGAAAAGGGUGGUUAAUCCGAUUUCCAUUGAGCCCCUUCUAUCAGUGGUGGUUUCACAGCAACGGGUUUUAAUUGAAGCUAGCUGGAGGAUGGAAAUGCCUUGUGGGGGCACUCAUAAGUCCAAGUCUCCAAAUCUCAGCGUAAGAGGGUACAUAGGGAGCUUCGCACUCAACCGUAACAACAUAGUUGUGCCUUAUGAGGAGGAGGAGAUUGUGGGGAGGGAGGAAGGUUCUUUACGUAUGUUAAAAUUACAUCCGCCCGAACUCUCCACUAUAAGUGGGCGAAUCAGCUUAAGUAUGUAGAAUUGUAAGUAGUGGUUAGGUAGUGAAGUUUGAGGAUUGAAUCUUUUGCCUGCCCUAUCAUAUGGUUGGUGAUCAAGGCCCAUCAAAUAUCAGCUUUUAGGUAAUGGGCAUCGUAUUGUAUUGUAUUAAGCUCUAAUAAUGUCUAACCUACUUCUAUUAGUGGAAAGACCAAUAGCCAUGUACAAGCAAGUGUAAUCGCACAAGCAAGCUAGAGUAAACAUGUAUAAACAAUUGGGUGGAACAAAUUCAUAGAGAGACUUGACCUCAUGGCCUUUUUGAACCAAAGGCUCUGAUACCAUGCUAAGAUAUUAACAUUAACUUAGCAUGGUGUCAGAGCUUUGGUUCCAAGAGUUACUGGGUUCAAGCCUUGUGAUAUUGUUUGUGAGAAACAUGAAACAAAAGCAAACUCUCACAGUUCGGAGCCCAGCUCCUACUGUGAAGUUGCAGUUGCCAUGUUUCUGCACCUUACGGUAUAUUUGUUUGCACACCCUAUUUGUUUGUGCACUCUGUUCCAUGUGCGAGGUGAAGUCAUGUGGGGGAAAGAGGGGUGGUUAGGUCUGAGAUAACUUGAUGUUAGUAGUAAAGCUAGUAUUCUAUCAUCUUAAUAGUUUAGUGCAAUUGGUUGGUAACAAUGUGGACAAAAACUUGUGUUUCACAGUCUGUAUUUGAAGGGGUACAAAUUCACAGGGAAGACAUGAACUUAAGACCGUUCGCCUAACAUGUUUAUGUUAGUAAGAGGGGGAAGGGAUGAGGAUUUACCCUCACCAGUGCCAAACACCUCACAGCCCAUACCUCUACCUCCUACAUGUUUGGUUCUACAUGUAGUUCUUGGCGGAAGGAAAUAGAGUGGAUAAGGAUCAGUUAUUGGUAUGGCUGGAGGCGGCUCCAUUCAUUCCCUUCCAUGGUCAAUUGACCACCCAAAUAUUUUUUUCUCUCUUGGCAUACAUGUAAAAUUUUUGGACUAACCAUACUUUGAACACCCAACCCAAUUGUUUGAACACCCAACCUAAAUGUUAACGAACACCCACCCCAAAAAUAGCCCACAAAUUAAUCCACUUGAAAUUGAAAGCCUAAAUUUCAGCCCACUAAAUUUCAAUUGCAUUACAAAAGAAGUCACAAGAUAUUGUAAAUGCCAUGGCACUUGUUGAAAUGUCUAAGCAACGGUUGCAAGUGAUGAGAGAUGAUGGGUGGGAUUCUUUGUUGGCCGAAGUGUCUUCGUUUUGUAGGAAGUAUGGUAUUCCUUUUCCUAACAUGAGUGAAAUGUUUGUAUCUAGUGAUUGGCCACAACGCAAAGCCCCAUAAAUAACGAUUUCUCAUCGUUAUCGUGCUGAGCUAUUCUGUACAGUCUUGGAUUUGAAAUUUCAUGAGCUGAAAAAUCGCUUCACAGAGGCAAAUACGGAGUUGCUACUUUGUGUGAGUUGCUUGAAUCCUAGAAAUUCAUUUUCUACUUUUGAAAGGAAAAAGUUGAUUCGUCUUGCGGAACUCUACCCAUGUGACUUUUCUAAGGUGGACCUAAUGGCAUUGAACAUUCAACUUCAAAAUUACAUUUUUGAUGAUAUUUACUUUGCUAUUUUUGGGUCGCAUUUUAGAUGUUACGUAUGACUUUUUGUUUAUAUAUAGUUGUGGUUUCUCGAGAUAGUAUAGUGCAUUUUCUGAACACCCUUAGAAAAAUUCCGGGAGCCGCUACGGCAGAGUGGGGGUUCAUAACUAUACAUCAAAAUCAAUGUUCUAAAUGGCGCUUGGCGGUAGUCGGGCGGAGACCCACCUCCAAGCGCCAAGCCGCCUAGGCGGCGCCAAGCAAUUUGGCGGAUUUUUUUUUUUUUAACAAACCAUUAUCCAAUCAAACUAUAUUUCAUGUAUCCAUAAUGCAAGUUCAAACUUUAAAGUACAAACCCAAAUGAAAUUAAGUAGUAGCAACUAGCAAAUAAGUUGAAUAAGACAAUAAGUAG